rnacentral:rRNA from 1 species
GAUGAACGCUGGCGGCGUGCUUAACACAUGCAAGUCGAACGGAAAGGCUCCUGCUUGCAGGGGUACUCGAGUGGCGAACGGGUGAGUAACACGUGGGUGAUCUGCCCUGCACUUCGGGAUAAGCCUGGGAAACUGGGUCUAAUACCGGAUAGGACGAUGGUUUGGAUGCCAUUGUGGAAAGUUUUUCGGUGUGGGAUGAGCUCGCGGCCUAUCAGCUUGUUGGUGGGGUAAUUGCCUACCAAGGCGUCGACGGGUAGCCGGCCUGAGAGGGUGUACGGCCACAUUGGGACUGAGAUACGGCCCAGACUCCUACGGGAGGCAGCAGUGGGGAAUAUUGCACAAUGGGCGCAAGCCUGAUGCAGCGACGCCGCGUGGGGGAUGACGGCCUUCGGGUUGUAAACUCCUUUCGCUAGGGACGAAGCGCAAGUGACGGUACCUGGAGAAGAAGCACCGGCUAACUACGUG